GACGAACGCUGGCGGCGUGCUUAACACAUGCAAGUCGAACGGAAAGGCCCUGCUUUUGUGGGGUGCUCGAGUGGCGCACGGGUGAGUAACACGUGAGUAACCUUCCCUUGACUUUGGGAUAACUUCAGGAAACUGGGGCUAAUACCGGAUAGGAGCUCCUGCUGCAUGGUGGUGGUUGGAAAGUUUCGGCGGUUGUGGAUGGACUCGCGGCUUAUCAGCUUGUUGGUGUGGUAGUGGCUUACCAAGGCUUUGACGGGUAGCCGGCCUGAGAGGGUGACCGGCGACAUGGGGACUAAGAGACGGAGAAGAAGACUACGGGAGGCAGAAGGGGGGAAGAUUGCAAAAUGGGCGGAAGCGUGAUGCAGAAACGCCGCGUGCGGGAUGACGGGCUUCGGGGUGUAAACCGAUUUCGCAUGUGACGAAGAGUGAGUGACGGUAAUGAGUAAAGAAGCAACGGCUAACUACGUG
rnacentral:rRNA from 1 species